GUUUAAUACUGUUUUUGCUCAGGAAGUCGCAUCACAUUCAAAUCCUUAAAGGUGAGCUGGAGUUUGAAAAGAAGCUGCAUUCCGCGGACUUGCGCAUGGUCCAAAGCCAGCACGAGUCUCGCAUGGUGGAGUUGGAAGCCGGCCAAAAAGUGAAAGAUCUGGAGGAGGCUCUGUCUACAGAGAGGGAGCGGACCCAGAACAAGGAGGAGAGGUCUUUUUACAGCUUUAGAACAUACCACAACGUUUGCUCUCAUAGCAAUUAAUGUCUCCACGUUUGUCCCCAGGGUACGCCAAACCAUGUCGGCCAGCAAAAAGAGGAAACGUCCGAAGGACAGCGAGGGUUUGAGCUCGGGCGGAUGCAAUGUGCCUCGUCCUAAAAUCGCCCAGCAGGUCACUGUGGAUGAGCAGCAGGUCACUGUGGAUGAGCAGCAGGUCACUCUGGAUGAGGUGGACUCGUACGGCAAAUAUGUCAGACUCAGCAAUACAGUUGAUGAGGAUCAGAAUUUGGGGAACUGGCAGGUGAAGCUCCAGAUUGGAUCUUCUGCUCCCAUCGUAUUCAAGUUUGCCGCAGAAUUCAUCCUGAAGGCC